UGGGGAAUAUUGCGCAAUGGGGGAAACCCUGACGCAGCGACGCCGUGUGAGGGAAGAAGGCUUUCGGGUCGUAAACCUCUGUCAGGAAGGAAGAACCUCUCAAGGCUGAACAAGCCUUGGGACUGACGGUACUUCCAGAGGAAGCACCGGCUAACUCCGUGCCAGCAGCCGCGGUAAUACGGAGGGUGCAAGCGUUAAUCGGAAUCACUGGGCGUAAAGCGCGCGUAGGCCGUCUUUUAAGUCGGACGUGAAAGCCCUCGGCUCAACCGGGGAACCGCGUUCGAUACUGGGAGACUUGAGUCCUGGAGAGGGUGGCGGAAUUCCGGGUGUAGGAGUGAAAUCCGUAGAUAUCCGGAGGAACACCGGUGGCGAAGGCGGCCACCUGGACAGGUACUGACGCUGAGGCGCGAAAGCGUGGGGAGCAAACA
rnacentral:rRNA from 1 species